rnacentral:rRNA from 1 species
UCCUAUGGCCAUAUCACCCUGAACGUGCCAGGACUCAUCUGAGCUUGAAAGCUAAGCAGGGCCAGGCCUUGUUAGUUCUUGGAU